rnacentral:lncRNA from 7 species
UGUUUACUUUGUGUACUGAAUUAAACAGAUAUCUUCAAAUAAUCACUGAAGGACCUGGAACUGCAGCUGGUUUAAGAGAUGCUUAUUUUAUGACAAUGAAAGGGAAACAAUAUCUUCAAAGAGGAAACAUAGGACAUCCCUCCAGGAACAUAAAAAAAGAAGAGGCGAAACAUCACUGGGAAAACACCAUCCCAGUUGCCUUCUGUUGGCAUGUAUCAUCGAGAAGAUAAUAGUGGGCUCAUGUUCCUCGAGAUCAAGAACUAAUCCAGGGUGUGGUCGCAACAUCACCGACUGCCUACAAUCUUAACCUCUUCAGCGACCAUUGAAAGUUGCUCAGAUUUAUAUCGAUAUUGGAAGAUAUUGAAGCAUGUUUGAAAUUUUCAGUUUUGGCAUGUUUUCAGAUUUAACUUAUUUGUAGAAGAUGAUGGCUUCUGUGUGGAGAAAUUCCCUAACACUGAGAGAAAAUAUGAAAGCAUUGGUAUUUUUUCUUUUCAUAGCAUGAUAAUGAGUUUUUUUUAAUUAAAAUGAAAAGUUUCAACUGCAACAAAGUGAUUUUAAAAUUUCAGAAGAGGCAAUACUGAGGUGAAGAGCUAGAGAAAGCUCUGAUGUUAAAAAUAUAUGCAUAUCUGUACCUUUUUUUUGUCUGAGGGCUACUGGUGGAUGAAAUGGGACAGUAGAUUAGCUAUUAAAGUCAGGCAUAUACAUUAGUGGGUUCUGUAACUUGACUGUAGACAGCAGGAAUUUAACAUGAGAAAGUGUCAGAACAAUAGCUGAUCUAUUAACAAAACAUUUUAAACUAGAAAGCUCUGUGAUUGGUUGUUAAUAUGAAAGAAAUAAAUUCACAAGGUCCUAUAAAAAAUGCAUUUAUGUUCAGAGGGAAAUAACUAGGAUAGGAAUCUUACUUUGUUAGUAGGCAAUAGAUGCAGAAUAUUUUUCGAAAGUCAGCAGCAUCAAUUAAUGCCUUUCCUGUAGUAGUGUAGUAUAAUGUUUUGCUCCAUAUAAUAAAAUAUUUUUCAUC